AGUGAACGCUGGCGGUAGGCUUAACACAUGCAAGUCGAACGGCAGCACAGGAGAGCUUGCUCUCUGGGUGGCGAGUGGCGGACGGGUGAGGAAUACAUCGGAAUCUACUCUGUCGUGGGGGAUAACGUAGGGAAACUUACGCUAAUACCGCAUACGACCUACGGGUGAAAGCAGGGGACCUUCGGGCCUUGCGCGAUUGAAUGAGCCGAUGUCGGAUUAGCUAGUUGGCGGGGUAAAGGCCCACCAAGGCGACGAUCCGUAGCUGGUCUGAGAGGAUGAUCAGCCACACUGGAACUGAGACACGGUCCAGACUCCUACGGGAGGCAGCAGUGGGGAAUAUUGGACAAUGGGCGCAAGCCUGAUCCAGCCAUACCGCGUGGGUGAGGAAGGCCUUCGGGUCGUAAAGCCCUUUUGUUGGGAAAGAAAUCCAGCUGGCUAAUACCCGGUUGGGAUGACGGUACCCAAAGAAUAAGCACCGGCUAACUUCGUGCCAGCAGCCGCCGUAA
rnacentral:rRNA from 1 species